rnacentral:rRNA from 1 species
AUGACGGUACCUGAAGAAUAAGCACCGGCUAACUACGUGCCAGCAGCCGCGGUAAUACGUAGGGUGCGAGCGUUAAUCGGAAUUACUGGGCGUAAAGCGGGCGCAGACGGUUACUUAAGCAGGAUGUGAAAUCCCCGGGCUCAACCUGGGAACUGCGUUCUGAACUGGGUGACUAGAGUGUGUCAGAGGGAGGUAGAAUUCCACGUGUAGCAGUGAAAUGCGUAGAGAUGUGGAGGAAUACCGAUGGCGAAGGCAGCCUCCUGGGAUAACACUGACGUUCAUGCUCGAAAGCGUGGGUAGCAAACAGGAUUAGAUACCCUGGUAGUCCACGCCCUAAACGAUGUCAAUUAGCUGUUGGGCAACUUGAUUGCUUAGUAGCGUAGCUAACGCGUGAAAUUGACCGCCUGGGGAGUACGGUCGCAAGAUUAAAACUCAAAGGAAUUGACGGGGACCCGCACAAGCGGUGGAUGAUGUGGAUUAAUUCGAUGCAACGCGAAGAACCUUACCUGGUCUUGACAUGUACGGAAUCCUCCAGAGACGGAGGAGUGCCUUCGGGAGCCGUAACACAGGUGCUGCAUGGCUGUCGUCAGCUCGUGUCGUGAGAUGUUGGGUUAAGUCCCGCAACGAGCGCAACCCUUGUCAUUAGUUGCCAUCAUUAAGUUGGGCACUCUAAUGAGACUGCCGGUGACAAGCCGGAGGAAGGUGGGGAUGACGUCAAGUCCUCAUGGCCCUUAUGACCAGGGCUUCACACGUCAUACAAUGGUCGGUACAGAGGGUA